rnacentral:misc_RNA from 1 species
AACGCACAUUGCGCCCUUUGGCAUUCCGAGGGGCAUGCCCGUUCGAGCGUCAUUAAACCCACUCAAGCCUGGCUUGGUCUUGGGCGCCGGGACCCCCCGCGCCCCCAUGUCGCCGGCCGGCCGUCGUUCGACGUAGCGUUGUGACACAUGUCGCUACCGACGAACGGCGGACACCGCGCCGUGAGAAUCUCCUUGGACGUCGCCCGACGUCCAGUACCGGUUGACCUCGGAUCGGGUAGGAAUACCCGCUGAACUUAA